rnacentral:rRNA from 1 species
AACGAACGCUGGCGGCGUGCUUAACACAUGCAAGUCGAGUGCGCGGUUGUAGCAAUACAACUGGCGCACGGCGCACGGGUGCGUAACACGUGGGUAACCUGCCCUUUGGUGGGGAAUAACUCCGCGAAAGCGGAGCUAAUUCCGCAUAAGAUCCGCAAGGAUGAAAGCAGCAAUGCGCCGAAGGAGGGGCCCGCGCCCGAUUAGCUAGUUGGUGAGGUAACGGCUCACCAAGGCGACGAUCUCUAGCUGGUCUGAGAGGAUGACCAGCCACACUGGAACUGAGACACGGUCCAGACUCCUACGGGAGGCAGCAGUGGGGAAUAUUGCACAAUGGGGGAAACCCUGAUGCAGCCAUGCCGCGUGUGUGAAGAAGGCCUUCGGGUUGUAAAGCACUUUCAGUGGGGAGGAAGGGGCGAUGACUAAUACGCAUCGUCAUUGACGUUACCCACAGAAGAAGCACCGGCUAACUCCGUGCCAGCCGCCGCGGUAAAAC